rnacentral:rRNA from 1 species
UACAGAGGGGGCAAGCGUUGUUCGGAAUUACUGGGCGUAAAGGGCGCGUAGGCGGCCUUCUAAGUCGGACGUGAAAUCCCCAGGCUCAACCUGGGAACUGCAUCCGAUACUGGAUGGCUUGAAUUCGGGAGAGGGAUGCAGAAUUCCAGGUGUAGCGGUGAAAUGCGUAGAUAUCUGGAGGAAUACCGGUGGCGAAGGCGGCAUCCUGGACCGACAUUGACGCUGAGGAGCGAAAGCCAGGGGAGCAGACGGG